rnacentral:rRNA from 1 species
GAAUCCAUAGGUUAAUGAGGCGAACCGGGAGAACUGAAACAUCUCAGUACCCCGAGGAAAAGAAAUCAACCGAGAUUCCCCUAGUAGCGGCGAGCGAACGGGGAGCAGCCCAGAGUCUUAAUCAAUAACAGUGUCAGGAGAACGGUCUGGAAAGUCCGGCAGUAAAGGGUGAUAGCCCCGUAUCUGAAGAUGCUGUUAUUGUGAACUCGACGAGUAGGGCGGGACACGUGUUAUCCUGUCUGAAUAUGGGGGGACCAUCCUCCAAGGCUAAAUACUCCUGAUUGACCGAUAGUGAACCAGUACCGUGAGGGAAAGGCGAAAAGAACCCCGGCGAGGGGAGUGAAAAAGAACCUGAAACCGUGUACGUACAAGCAGUAGGAGCCUCUUUAUGGGGUGACUGCGUACCUUUUGUAUAAUGGGUCAGCGACUUAUAUUCUGUAGCGAGGUUAACCGUAUAGGGGAGCCGUAGGGAAACCGAGUCUUAACUGGGCGAAUGAGUUGCAGGGUAUAGACCC